AAGCACACGGAACUGCAUCUGGUGUGAACUGGCCCAGGUCUGAAGGACAGCUGAGGAGAACUACUGAGGUUCAGAGAAAGGGUGCCUAAAGCCCCGUACACACAAUCCGAAAAUCGUACGAAAAAUUUUGCUUUCUAAUCGAUUGUACAAUAAUCGGAUCGGUUACAGGAAGAUAAAAUAUGCAUUUUAAUAUACUAACAAAUUCCCCAGACAUCACAAAGUUCCAGAUAUUCACAAAAGAAACCGUUUUCUUAUAUCAUGAAAAAAGCACAUCCACCAUAUUAUACAUAUAACCCAAAACAGGAUGUGAGAAGUUGGGGACCCCCAAGCCACCAGAACUAGUGUCCCCAUUGGAAGAUUUUUCCAAAGGUCUUUGAUAACGCUCUCUGGGAGGGACGAAACGCGUCAGUACACAGACUACGGCACCGCAGUGACAUCACGUCCGAUGUACGUUGGAAUGCAGAGGUUGUGAGAGAACUUGCUACGUCCUUUGAUGCUACAUCCUUUUGCUUUUUACUAUGAAAAAUUGUAAGCUUGAUUUCUACUUAAUAAACAAGACGUACUACUA